AUUGAACGCUGGCGGCAGGCCUAACACAUGCAAGUCGAACGAGUGGCGGACGGGUGAGUAAUGUCUGGGAACGUGCCUGAUAGAGGGGGAUAACUACUGGAAACGGUAGCUAAUACCGCAUACCAUCGGAUGUGCCCAGAUGGGAUUAGCUAGUAGGUGGGGUAAAGGCUCACCUAGGCGACGAUCCCUAGCUGGUCUGAGAGGAUGACCAGCCACACUGGAACUGAGACACGGCCCAGACUCCUACGGGAGGCAGCAGUGGGGAAUAUUGGACAAUGGGCGAAAGCCUGAUGCAGCCAUGCCGCGUGUAUGAAGAAGGCCUUCGGGUUGUAAAGUACUUUUGGCGGGGAGGCGGUACCCGCAGAAGAAGCACCGGCUAACUACGUGCCAGCAGCCGCGGUAAUAC
rnacentral:rRNA from 1 species